UCUUUGCCUAUAGUAUUUGGUGUUUAUCUCCAAGUCUUUAGAGAUGAAUGAAAAGGGAACCGGGUGAAAUUCCCGGACAGUACCCGCUGCUGUAAGCUUCCUCAAGGAAAGACAUUCUCUGCCACUGUUAUCAAACGGGAAGGCGUCUUAUUCCGGAAGUAAGUCAGAAGACCUGCCAAAUACGGAUUUGUAGC
rnacentral:ncRNA from 2 species